rnacentral:rRNA from 1 species
UACGUAGGGAGCAAGCGUUGUCCGGAAUCAUUGGGCGUAAAGCGCGCGUAGGCGGCCCGGUAAGUCCGUUGUGAAAGUCAAAGGCUCAACCUUUGAAUGCCGAUGGAUACUGCCGGGCUAGAGUCCGGAAGAGGCGAGUGGAAUUCCUGGUGUAGCGGUGAAAUGCGCAGAUAUCGGGAGGAACACCGGUGGCGAAGGCGGUUCUCUGGGCCUUACCUGACGCUGAGGAGCGAAAGCGUGGGGAGCGAACAGG